rnacentral:rRNA from 1 species
AGUGAACGCUGGCGGUAGGCCUAACACAUGCAAGUCGAACGGCAGCACAGUAAGAGCUUGCUCUUACGGGUGGCGAGUGGCGGACGGGUGAGGAAUACAUCGGAAUCUACUUUUUCGUGGGGGAUAACGUAGGGAAACUUACGCUAAUACCGCAUACGACCUACGGGUGAAAGCAGGGGAUCUUCGGACCUUGCGCGAUUGAAUGAGCCGAUGUCGGAUUAGCUAGUUGGCGGGGUAAAGGCCCACCAAGGCGACGAUCCGUAGCUGGUCUGAGAGGAUGAUCAGCCACACUGGAACUGAGACACGGUCCAGACUCCUACGGGAGGCAGCAGUGGGGAAUAUUGCACAAUGGGCGAAAGCCUGAUCCAGCCAUACCGCGUGGGUGAAGAAGGCCUUCGGGUCGUAAAGCCCUUUUGUUGGGAAAGAAAAGCAGCAGGUUAAUACCCCGCUGUUCUGACGGUACCCAAAGAAUAAGCACCGGCUAACUUCGUG